UACGGGGGGUGCAAGCGUUGUUCGGAAUUACUGGGCGUAAAGGGCUCGUAGGUGGCCAAUUAAGUCGGACGUGAAAUCCCUCGGCUUAACCGGGGAACUGCGUCUGAUACUGGAUGGCUUGAGUUCGGGAGAGGGAUGCGGAAUUCCAGGUGUAGCGGUGAAAUGCGUAGAUAUCUGGAGGAACACCGGUGGCGAAGGCGGCAUCCUGGACCGACACUGACGCUGAGGAGCGAAAGCCAGGGGAGCAAACGGG
rnacentral:rRNA from 1 species